CAGCAGCCCUGAAGAGUUGUUGCCCAGCAUGGGAACCACCCCCAUCAAUAUCUCGCAAUGGUGGACUUGCCGUUAUGGUCGCCACAGGCAAAGGAAAGGCGAACAUUUUGAACAGCAUGGAGAAAGCCAUGUGGGUGUUGGGAUGCUGCUUGCCCUGGGUGUGCCCUGUGGCUGUGGAUCACGCAAGGCAGUGGACAUGCCAUGCAAGGCUCACCAUUGGCAAAGAAACGAAGUCCUUCCUCUCCUGUGAGGACCAGCAGCAUGUGGGAUUCCCAGGAAAACUGAAGCCCAGCUCAC